rnacentral:rRNA from 1 species
AGGCCGAAAGGCGUAGUCGAUGGGAAACAGGUUAAUAUUCCUGUACUUGGUGUUACUGCGAAGGGGGGACGGAGAAGGCUAUGUUAGCCGGGCGACGGUUGUCCCGGUUUAAGCAUGUAGGCUGGUUGUCCAGGCAAAUCCGGAUAAUCAAGGCUGAGGUGUGAUGACGAGGCACUACGGUGCUGAAGUAACAAAUGCCCUGCUUCCAGGAAAAGCCUCUAAGCAUCAGGUAACAUUAAAUCGUACCCCAAACCGACACAGGUGGUCAGGUAGAGAAUACCAAGGCGCUUGAGAGAACUCGGGUGAAGGAACUAGGCAAAAUGGUGCCGUAACUUCGGGAGAAGGCACGCUGGUGUGUAGGUGA